rnacentral:rRNA from 1 species
AUGCUUGAGCAGAACACCUUGAGCUUUGCGUACAUCUCUGCCUCCUUGGUAGUCAGUCCUGUUGCUGGACCGUUCGUCACGACAAUCUCCAUACCUGUCCCCUUGUCACAAACAUCCGAGGGCUGCUGUGCAGGCAGAUUGCCCAUAUGCAUCACCAAUGGCUCGUGUACGUGGAUCGUAUCGCAUGCAAGAACUGCAUGGUUCCCAUCAGUGCGGGGCCCAGUCAUCCUGAGGCCAUCCAUCGAUUGCAUGCAUUCAUCCAGGGGGUGUUGCCGGGUGUCCCUUGAGUCUGCGUCUCCACCACAGCCUCAUGUGCCGCUGUGUCCUGCAUGA